AAAAAAAUAUGGCGACUAAGAAACACUUACUGUCAACAAGAUUUUCUGAUUGACAAGAGAAAAGGUCAAACAGGAACUUCAAUUGUGAACAUUGCAGAGAACACACCCAUCAGAAGAUGACCCUCAGAAAUAGGACAAUUAAUGAAUAAAAUGG